rnacentral:rRNA from 1 species
GAUGAACGCUGACAGCAGGCUUAACACAGAAUAACUGAUUGGGUGGCGGACGGGUGAGUAACGCGUAAAGAACUUGCCUCACAGGGAGGGACAACAUUUGGAAACGAAUGCUAAUACCUAAUACUGGGAGAGAGCUUUGCGUCCCAUUAGCUAGUUGGAGAGGUAACGGCUCACCAAGGCGAUGAUGGGUAUCCGGCCUGAGAGGGUGAUCGGCCACAAGGGAACUGGGGCACGGCCCUUACUCCUACGAGCAGCAGGAGUGGGGAAUAGUGGACAAAGGACCAAAGUCUGAUCCAGCAAUUCUGUGUGCACUAUGAAGUUUUCGGAAUGUAAAGUGCUAUCAGUUGAGAAGCGGUACCAGCAGAAGAAGGGACGGCUAAAUACGUGCCAGCAGCCGCGGUAAUUC